rnacentral:rRNA from 1 species
AUUGAACGCUAGCGGCAUGCUUUACACAUGCAAGUCGAACGAGUGGCGGACGGGUGAGUAAUAUCUGGGAAAGUGCCUAGUAGCGGGGGAUAACUACUCGAAAGGGUGGCUAAUACCGCAUACUAUUGGAUCUGCCGAUAUGGGAUUAGCUAGUUGGUGGGGUAAAGGCUCACCAAGGCCACGAUCCGUAGCUGGUUUGAGAGGAUGACCAGCCACACUGGGACUGAGACACGGCCCAGACUCCUACGGGAGGCAGCAGUGGGGAAUUUUGGACAAUGGGGGCAACCCUGAUCCAGCCAUCCCGCGUGUAUGAGAAGGCCUUCGGGUUGUAAAGUACUUUGGGCAGAGAGGCGGUAUCCGCAGAAUAAGCACCGGCUAACUCCGUGCCAGCAGCCGCGGUAAUUC